AAUUGUUAAUUAUGUAGAAAAUAUUGUACAUAAUUACAAUAAUAUGGAUUUUAUAAUGCACUUCCGUUUAUCAUAAUAAAUAACAUACAGUUUAAUAGUUCAGAGUUUCAGAAAUAUUUACUUCCAUGGAAAGUUGGAAAGAAAAUAUCCAGACAGAAUAUCCGAAACUAGGAAAUAAGACAUCUUACGACCAGACAUCUUAAAGACAUCUGACGUCUUAUGUCCCAGGUUUGGACAUUGGUGCUGUCUGCAUCUUGUAGGGCGCUCUAAAAUUACAGCCGAAAAACAUAUAUUGACUUAUCUAUGGUUUAUAGGGCAUGAAAGUGCAUCAUACAGAGAUGUUGCCGACAGAUUUGGGAUAACACUUAGUGCCUUGUAUAAUAUUAUUAUUAGAGUUACAGAUUUUAUAAUGUCUAUUAUGCCUAAUAUUAUAAAAUAUCCAACUACAGUUGAAAAAAUGGAAACUGCAGCUUUUUACGAAAGAGAAAAAGGAUUCCCUGGUAUAAUAGGUGCUAUUGAUGGUUCUCAUAUCCGAAUUGAUCGACCAUUACAAGAUUCUGAUUCAUAUAUUAACCGAAAACAUUAUUUUUCAUUACAUAUUCAGGGAGUUAUAAAUCAUAAAAUGAAAUUCAUGGAUGUUUUCAUAGAAUAUCCGGGCUCAGUGCAUGACGCACAGGUAUUUCGAAAUUCACCAAUUUGCAACGAUUUGCCUGAACUUUGAGAAGAUAAUUAUUUUUUCUGAGUGAUAGUGCAUAUCCCUGUCUGAAACAACUAAUUGUAUCAUAUAGGGAUAAUGGACACAUGCACAAAGAAAACUUGCAAUCGCAAAUUAAGUUCUUCCCGAGUGAUUAUUGAAAACGCAUUUGGCUGUCUAAAACAGCGUUUUCAACAGUUAUAUCACUUUAAGUUAAGAAACAUAGUGCGAAUGGUUCAGAUCAUACACGCCUGUUGCGUGCUACAUAAUAUUGCAGAUGUUAAUGAUUUACAAUAUUUAGAAGAACAAAUAAAUGAUGAAUAUCCUGAUAUUAAAGUUG
rnacentral:misc_RNA from 1 species